AUUGAACGCUGGCGGCAGGCUUAACACAUGCAAGUCGAGCGGGGAAAGGUAGCUUGCUACCUAACUUAGCGGCGGACGGGUGAGUAAUGCUUAGGAAUCUGCCUAUUAGUGGGGGACAACAUUCCGAAAGGAAUGCUAAUACCGCAUACGCCCUACGGGGGAAAGCAGGGGACCUUCGGACCUUGCGCUAAUAGAUGAGCCUAAGUCAGAUUAGCUAGUUGGUGGGGUAAAGGCCUACCAAGGCGACGAUCUGUAGCGGGUCUGAGAGGAUGAUCCGCCACACUGGGACUGAGACACGGCCCAGACUCCUACGGGAGGCAGCAGUGGGGAAUAUUGGACAAUGGGCGAAAGCCUGAUCCAGCCAUGCCGCGUGUGUGAAGAAGGCCUUUUGGUUGUAAAGCACUUUAAGCGAGGAAGAGGCUACUUGGAUUAAUACUCUAGGAUAGUGGACGUUACUCGCAGAAGAAGCCCCGGCUAACUUCGUGCCAGCCGCCGCCGUAAUAC
rnacentral:rRNA from 1 species